UCCUACGGGAGGCAGCAGUGGGGAAUAUUGCACAAUGGGCGAAAGCCUGAUGCAGCGACGCCGCGUGGGGGAUGACGGCCUUCGGGUUGUAAACCCCUUUCAGCAGGGAAGAAGCGAAAGUGACGGUACCUGCAGAAGAAGCACCGGCUAACUACGUGCCAGCAGCCGCGGUAAUACGUAGGGUGCGAGCGUUGUCCGGAAUUAUUGGGCGUAAAGAGCUCGUAGGCGGUCUGUCGCGUCGGAUGUGAAAACUCGGGGCUCAACCCCGAGCCUGCAUUCGAUACGGGCAGACUAGAGUUCGGUAGGGGAGACUGGAAUUCCUGGUGUAGCGGUGAAAUGCGCAGAUAUCAGGAGGAACACCGGUGGCGAAGGCGGGUCUCUGGGCCGAUACUGACGCUGAGGAGCGAAAGCGUGGGGAGCGAACAGGAUUAGAUACCCUGGUAGUCCACGCCGUAAACGUUGGGCGCUAGGUGUGGGGGACUUUCCACGUCCUCUGUGCCGCAGCUAACGCAUUAAGCGCCCCGCCUGGGGAGUACGGCCGCAAGGCUAAAACUCAAAGGAAUUGACGGGGGCCCGCACAAGCGGCGGAGCAUGUGGCUUAAUUCGACGCAACGCGAAGAACCUUACCAAGGCUUGACAUACAGGGAAAUCCGGCAGAGAUGUCGGGUCCGCAAGGGUCCUGUACAGGUGGUGCAUGGUUGUCGUCAGCUCGUGUCGUGAGAUGUUGGGUUAAGUCCCGCAACGAGCGCAACCCUCGUUCUAUGUUGCCAGCGCGUAAUGGCGGGG
rnacentral:rRNA from 1 species